rnacentral:rRNA from 1 species
GAACGCUGGCGGCGUGCCUAAUACAUGCAAGUCGAGCGAACAGGCGAGGAGCUUGCUCCUCUGACGUUAGCGGCGGACGGGUGAGUAACACGUGGAUAACCUACCUAUAAGACUGGGAUAACUUCGGGAAACCGGAGCUAAUACCGGAUAAUAUAUUGAACCGCAUGGUUCAAUAGUGAAAGACGGUUUUGCUGUCACUUAUAGUUGGAUCCGCGCCGCAUUAGCUAGUUGGUAAGGUAACGGCUUACCAAGGCAACGAUGCGUAGCCGACCUGAGAGGGUGAUCGGCCACACUGGAACUGAGACACGGUCCAGACUCCUGCGGGAGGCAGCAGUAGGGAAUCUUCCGCAAUGGGCGAAAGCCUGACGGAGCAACGCCGCGUGAGUGAUGAAGGUCUUCGGAUCGUAAAACUCUGUUAUUAGGGAAGAACAAAUGUGUAAGUAACUAUGCACGUCUUGACGGUACCUAAUCAGAAAGCCACGGCUAACUACGUG